CCGGUCCCGGCCGCGCGGAGCGGACAUGUGCAGGCUGGGCUAGGAGCCGCCGCCUCCCUCCCGCCCAGCGAUGUAUUCAGCGCCCUCCGCCUGCACUUGCCUGUGUUUACACUUCCUGCUGCUGUGCUUCCAGGUACAGGUGCUGGUUGCCGAGGAGAACGUGGACUUCCGCAUCCACGUGGAGAACCAGACGCGGGCUCGGGACGAUGUGAGCCGUAAGCAGCUGCGGCUGUACCAGCUCUACAGCCGGACCAGUGGGAAACACAUCCAGGUCCUGGGCCGCAGGAUCAGUGCCCGCGGCGAGGAUGGGGACAAGUAUGCCCAGCUCCUAGUGGAGACAGACACCUUCGGUAGUCAAGUCCGGAUCAAGGGCAAGGAGACGGAAUUCUACCUGUGCAUGAACCGCAAAGGCAAGCUGGUGGGGAAGGAGUCGAAUCUCUGCAAUUGUCUGGCUUCUGCAGUGAUGCUGGGGGAAUUAAAUAUAGCUGCAGUAUGUACAAGACAUACCCUGCAGUGGGGGAACACCAUCAGGUGGGUCCCGCUGGGGCUGGGGACAUGGGAACCAAUAAUGUGUGUGGAACACUUAGUGGUGGGCCAAGCCCAGGGCUCAGCAUGAUCACACUGAAUCCGUACAGCAGCCCCGCAAGGCAGGCACUCUGGAGCUUGUGACUUAACUUCCGCAUUCUGCUGCUUCUCUUUCUUUAGAAGAAUCGUAUCUAGAAUCUCAAUAUUUAAGAGAUAAAAAUGGGUAGAAGCUGAGGAGGAGGGGGCUACAGGAGCCUGAGAGUCCCCAAGGCCACAGUGCUUUCACCCCUCUAUGAGGAUGCAUAAACAGAGCCUCAGGGGGGCUAAGUGGCAUGUUCAGGGUCGUCCAGCUGCCAAGUGUUGCAGCUGGGAUUUGAACCCUGGUUGGCUGGACUCAAAGGUCGCACAUUGUUCUACUCUGCCCUGCUGGAGCACCUGUGUAGACUGUUAGAUUGGUCCAGUGAAGCAUGCCUGCUAUUCACACCCUUGCGUAGUCCCUUUUGGGGUGACUUGUUCUGUAGCAGCGAUAGAUCUUUAAAACGGUUCCUGGGAGGAGUCACUGAACAAGGCUGGGAGUGAGAUUAGGACACUGUUUUUUAGCUUCUUGCUCUUGAAAGAUCAAGUCCCUGUGAGUCUGGGGCACUUCUGCAGGAUUCCUCCCGAGCAGAAAUGAAGGAGAAGGAGGGCUUGGCAGCGAGAGCUCAGUGUUCAUGUGUCUCUGCGUUUUCCACCCCUCCUGGUCACAUGGCUCCAUUGCUAUUCCCUUUCUUCUUUCCAAUUGGGUGUGGCCAUGUGCGUGAUUUCUACGUUGUGGAGUGUGGUGGAAGUGAUUCAUGCCACUUUGGGUCUGGCCCAAAAAUCCCUCCAAUGAGCCCCCUUCUCUUUUCUUGCCCCUUGGCUGAGAGGAGAGGACUCUGAGGGCCUGGAAGAGGAUGGAAGCACAGGAUGGAAGAGGCUUGGGUCCUGAGUGACUGCAUGGAGGCUGCCUGGCCAGGAGCAACUGCAUUGGACUGUGAUGCGAAGGAGAAACGAGGUUUCACUGUGUAAAAGCCACUCGCUGAGGAGCCGGGACUACCUGUGCAGGGCCGAGUUUUCCCUCACUAAUCCAGAGGGAGGCACUCUGGGCGGACUGGCCGUGGUUUUGGAUAAAUAUGAAUUUCAGGCUGCACAGGGUUCAGCAAGAAAGAGUGCCUGAGAUGGAAUCAGCCUGCCAAGGUGCCGAGCUGGGGGACAGCGUCUAUUCCUGCCUGUGGACAACUCCACCUCCAAAGGAAGAGAAGCUGUCCUUGCUGUUGGGUUCUCCUGACCGACCCAGCUUGUCCCUCCCUCCAAACCUUCAGAUGCUUUCCCCUCAGCGGGUCUGAUUGUGAUCCUCCUCUGGGACCUGGUAUCCACGUCCAUCAACGGGAAAUGCUGACAGUGCUAAUUUCUUCCUGUGCCUGGCCGGGAGAAAUGCCCUAUUUGCAAGGAGGACCGGAGGCUCUCACAUGAGUAAAGACCUGGCCCCAAGGUCCUCAGAACACCCCCCGCCCAACGUGAGAAGGUGGAACUCGGCACCAUCGCACUGGAGCACGCGUUCCCACCUCAGCCACCCAAGCGCUGUGGGGCAAAUACUACAAUUACGCAUUUUGUAAGGAGAGAUGUGUUUUGGAAGAAUUUAUCUGCAGAAAUCAUAGGGCUGGAUAUUUGGUGAGAUUUCCCGAGAAAAGAUAAAAAGAACAAUAACCCAGGUAAAAUGCCAAAUCCUCGGUCUGACGUCCGUCUCCAAGAAUGACUGCCAAGAGCGCUCUGGGAAAUGGGCCACACCCACUCGUGUUCCAGCCAAUUAGAACAUCCAGAGUCCAGGCGAAUUCAGCCAACCAGAACUCGGCAUUCCUCUAGUGCAGAUGCCCUUGAUUUCUGCCAAGGACACAACUUUGGGCGCUGGGUUGGAGAAAUGAUUGUUGGCGGCACUUUCCAAGCAUUACCAAUUAAUUGAAAAUGCAAAGCCCACACGAUUACUUACAUAAUAAUUAACAUUAUUGCGUACUUACACAUCAAGCAUGUUCAAACUGCCCUCAGCAAGGUGAAGUCGCCUGCCUGAGGCCACACAAAUAAGUGUUGUGGGAGUUCUUCCCCUGAUUGCCCUACUGCCUCUGUGACAUAGUCACUGUCGUCACGGAUACCGAGCAAAGGAAUUUAGACUGUAGCCUGUACACAAAAACUCUUUGAGCCUUGUAAGGGUGAGUGCUAUCACCACUUUAUUUUACAUAGCGAUUGAUAAUAAAAUAAUAAGAGAUCUGAAACAUGUUUCCUGUUGGGAGAGA